AGCUCCAAUAGCGUAUAUUAAAGUUGCUGCAGUUAAAAAGCUCGUAGUUGCAUUUCCGAGGCAAGGGAUUAGUCCGACCUUUGGUGGGUAUUUAAUCCUCUUGCCUCGUCCUUGAGUGGUGCUUCUUGGUAUUAAGUUAUCGAGGAGAUAGCCGCUCAUCGUUUACUGUGAGAAAAUUAGAGUGUUCAAAGCAGGCUUAUGCCGUUGAAUAUAUUAGCAUGGAAUAAUAAGAUAGGACCUCGGUACUAUUUUGUUGGUUUGAGAACCAAGGUAAUGAUGAAUAGGGACAGUUGGGGGUAUUCGUAUUCAGUUGUCAGAGGUGAAAUUCUUAGAUUUACGGAAGACGAACUACUGCGAAAGCAUUUACCAAGGAUGUUGGCA
rnacentral:rRNA from 1 species